rnacentral:rRNA from 1 species
UCUACGGGGUGCUGCAGUGGGGAAUAUUGGACAAUGGGCGAAAGCCUGAUCCAGCCAUGCCGCGUGUGUGAAGAAGGCCUUCGGGUUGUAAAGCACUUUCAGUGGGGAAGAAAGCCUUGGGGCUAAUACCCUCGAGGAAGGACAUCACCCACAGAAGAAGUACCGGCUAACUCCGUGCCAGCAGCCGCGGUAAUACGGAGGGUGCGAGCGUUAAUCGGAAUUACUGGGCGUAAAGCGCGCGUAGGCGGUCUGAUAAGCCGGUUGUGAAAGCCCCGGGCUCAACCUGGGAACGGCAUCCGGAACUGUCAGGCUAGAGUGCAGGAGAGGAAGGUAGAAUUCCCGGUGUAGCGGUGAAAUGCGUAGAGAUCGGGAGGAAUACCAGUAGCGAAGGCGGCCUUCUGGACUGACACUGACGCUGAGGUGCGAAAGCGUGGGUAGCAAACAGGAUUAGAUACCCUGGUAGUC